CAAUCUGCCUUGGAGUGGGGAAUAACGGCUGGAAACAGCCGCUAAUACCGCAUGAUACAGCUGGGAGGCAUCUCCCUGGCUGUCAAAGAUUUAUCGCUCUGAGAUGAGCUCGCGUCUGAUUAGCUAGUUGGCGGGGUAACGGCCCACCAAGGCGACGAUCAGUAGCCGGACUGAGAGGUUGGCCGGCCACAUUGGGACUGAGACACGGCCCAGACUCCUACGGAAGGCAGCAG
rnacentral:rRNA from 1 species